UCUAAAAUAAAGACAGAAUCCCUGCCCUCAAGGAGACUAGUUUCAUGGGGAUUCAGGAAAACACAUAGAGGUAAAUAGUAACAAGGUUUACCUGGAGGUUGUGGAGUCAGCUUUCUGGAGUCUCUUGAAAGUGGCUCAGUUGCUUUUAAAGAGAAGGAUUUGAGUAUCUGCCAAAUAUUUGUGAGUUGUGCAUGUGUGUGUUUGUAUGUGUGUGUGUAAACAUACAUGUGCAUGCUUGUACACACAUUCUUCAUAUAGAAAGAAUUCUUACUGGGGUAUAGUGGGGGAGGAACGAGGGAAAAUCUAGUAGCUUUUUUCUUAACAUUUUUUUCUGGUGUGAACAUAAGCAGAAACUCAACACAGCACAGGCUGCGAGGGAAGGAAAAUUCAUCAAGUCUAAACUAUCUUCUCUCUUCUGGCACAAAGAUGUGUACAUGGUUUUCACAAUGUGGUGAACUAAGUUGGACAUGAUACUCUGAUAAGGGUCUUACUGCUGUAGAGUAUAUUGGAACCACUGGGCUAGGAUUCAGAAAGAUUCUAGCUCCUUGCCUGCCAGGAACCAAUGAUUUGACCUUGGACAAGCCACUUCCCCUGUCUGGACUUCAUGCUCUUCAUCUCUAAAGUGAGAGUAUCUG
rnacentral:lncRNA from 10 species